UGGGGGAUAUUGCACAAUGGGCGAAAGCCUGAUGCAGCGACGCCGCGUGGGGGAUGAAGGCCUUCGGGUUGUAAACUUCUUUUGCUCUGAACAAGGCGCACCAUGGGGUGUGUUGAGUGUAGGGGUUGAUUAGCGCCGGCUAACUACGUGCCAGCAGCCGCGGUAAUACGUAGGGCGCGAGCGUUGUCCGGAAUUAUUGGGCGUAAAGGGCUUGUAGGUGGCUGGUUGCGUCUGUCGUGAAAGCUCAUGGCUUAACUGUUGGUUUGCGGUGGGUACGGGCUGGCUUGAGUGCAGUAGGGGAGGCUGGAAUUCCUGGUGUAGCGGUGGAAUGCGCAGAUAUCAGGAGGAAUACCGGUGGCGAAGGCGGGUCUCUGGGCUGUUACUGACACUGAGGAGCGAAAGCAUGGGGAGCGAACAGG
rnacentral:rRNA from 1 species